AUGGGCUCUUUGAAGCAAAUUUAUAGCAUGGACCUCUCUGCCAACCUCUUGGUUGGUAGCAUCCCAUAUUCGGUUGGACAACUCCAAACGAUAGCCUACUUGAACCUAUCACACAAUUCAUUUGAUGAUUCACUUCCAGAAUCUUUCAGCAAGUUAACCAGCUUGCAAAGUUUGGACCUAUCACAUAACAGUCUCUCUGGUACAAUACCAAAGUACCUAGCAAAUUUCACCAUCCUGACCAGCUUGAACCUGUCUUUCAACAAGCUACAAGGUCAAGUACCAGAAGGUGGUGUCUUUUCAAAUAUUAGUCAACAAUCCUUGAUGGGGAAUUCUGAGCUUUGUGGUGCUUCACGUUUAGGAUUUCCAAUGUGCCCAAGUAACUCUAAAAGAACUAAUAAUGGCCGCAUGCUGAAGAUUUUGCUCCCUACUAUCAUCAUAGCAAUUGGACUUGUAGCUUUCUGCAUAUAUGUAACAACCAGAAAGAAGAUUAAGAAGCAGCAAGGGAUGUCAGCUUCUCCCGGUAUGGUUGACAUGCCCACCCAUCACCUGGUCUCGUACCAUGAGCUUGUUAGAGCAACUGAUGAUUUUAGUGAGAGCAACCUACUAGGGUCUGGAAGUUUUGGAAAAGUUUUCAAGGGCCAGCUAAGCAAUGGUUUGAUUGUUGCAAUAAAAGUUCUAGACAUGCAGCUAGAACAAGCGAUGAGAAGCUUUGAUACAGAGUGUGGUGUACUACGGAUGGCACGACACCGCAAUCUAAUGAGGAUACUCAAUACCUGCUCCAACUUGGAGUUUAGGGCACUGGUGCUUCAAUAUAUGCCCAAUGGCAGCUUAGAGAUGCUUCUACACAACUCUCAAGGUACAACACAAUUGGGAUUCAGUGAGAGACUAGGCAUCAUGCUUGAUGUGUCAUUGGCAAUGGAGUAUCUUCACCAUGAACACUACGAUGUGGUCUUGCACUGUGACUUGAAGCCUAGCAAUGUGUUGUUCGAUGAAGACAUGACAGCACAUGUGGCAGAUUUUGGCAUUGCAAGGUUGUUACUAGGUGAUAACAGCUCUACAAUCACUGCGAGCAUGCCUGGAACUAUUGGCUACAUGGCACCAGAGUAUGGGGCUCAGGGAAAAGCUUCACGAAAAAGUGAUGUAUUCAGCUUUGGAAUCAUGCUCUUUGAAGUCUUCACUAGAAAGAGACCCACAGAUGCGUUUUUUGUCGGAGAUAUAAGCCUGAGGCAGUGGGUUGUUGAGGCGUUUCCUGCAGAACUUUUCCGUGUUGUGGAUGAUCAGCUACUACAAGGGUCUUUUAGCUGCAGCACGGAAGGCUUUCUUGUGCCGAUAUUUGAGUUGGGUUUGUCCUGCACUAGCGACUCUCCUGACCAAAGGAUGACAAUGAGCGAUGUGGUUGUGAAGCUGAAGAAGAUCCAAGUGGCCUACAAUAAAUCAAUAGCGGCCGCACGGAAUGACGCCAGUCAUUGA
rnacentral:rRNA from 1 species